UUUGCGCUGCCUGUUUCUUUGCUUGCGAUUCUGGCACAAACUUCACAUGUGGGUGGGUGUCUGUGGGGUGCAUUCCUAUUGGCUGAUGCGUUUUGACUGACAGCUUUACUAUGGAUUCAAGCGCAAGAGCUACCCACCUCCCCCCCAGGUAGUGGUGCAACGCUCUUUUUGGCCACUAUGUACAGGUAUAUGCGAUGUGGCGCUAUUGAGCACAGUAUGUCAACCGCCAUAUGAAGAAGAAGAAGAUAUUGACCACAGUAAGUAGUUCCGUGGAGCUAGCUACACCAAAGCCAUCGAUGGGCUACACGCGUUAUGGACUCAAAACAAUGGGUUUUCCUCACUACUCAUUAACCCAAGAACAACUCAUCGUGAUGGAGCACCUGUACUCCCUGAUACAGCAGGAUCUGAGGGGAUUCCUCAGACAGGACGCAGAUGUGGAUUGACAACAUCCUGCAGUUUAACUUUAUUAGAAUAAGUGUUGUUUUGAAUAAAGAACAAUAAAAUUGUA